rnacentral:sRNA from 1 species
ACCUGUCACGCGCGCCCGCGCACGCCGCGGAUCCGCGUGACGACGCAGACACACCACACCGUGCCACGGGAAGAAACGGGCACUUCAGGGCGUU